AUUCCGAAAGUAGCGGCGAGCGAAAUUGGACUAGCCCUUAAGCUUUACACGCGUUAGACGAACGGUCUGGAAAGUCCGACGAUACAGGGUGAUAGUCCCGUAGUUGACGACGUGUGUUCAGUGAAAUCGAGUAGGGCGGGACACGUGAUAUCCUGUCUGAAUAUGGGGGGACCAUCCUCCAAGGCUAAAUACUACUGACUGACCGAUAGUGAACCAGUACCGUGAGGGAAAGGCGAAAAGAACCCCUGUGAGGGGAGUGAAAUAGAACCUGAAACCGUGUACGUACAAGCAGUAGGAGCACCUUCGUGGUGUGACUGCGUACCUUUUGUAUAAUGGGUCAGCGACUUAUAUUCAGUGGCAAGGUUAACCAUCUAGGGGAGCCGUAGGGAAACCGAGUCUUAACUGGGCGUUCAGUCUCUGGAUAUAGACCCGAAACCAGGUGAUCUAGCCAUGGGCAGGUUGAAGGUUGAGUAACAUCAACUGGAGGACCGAACCGACUAAUGUUGAAAAAUUAGCGGAUGACUUGUGGCUAGGGGUGAAAGGCCAAUCAAACCUGGAGAUAGCUGGUUCUCCCCGAAAGCUAUUUAGGUAGCGCCUCGGACGAAUACUACUGGGGGUAGAGCACUGUUAAGGCUAGGGGGUCAUCCCGACUUACCAACCCUUUGCAAACUCCGAAUACCAGUAAGUACUAUCCGGGAGACACACGGCGGGUGCUAACGUCCGUCGUGGAGAGGGAAACAACCCAGACCGCCAGCUAAGGUCCCAAAUUACUACUAAGUGGGAAACGAUGUGGGAAGGCUCAGACAGCCAGGAUGUUGGCUUAGAAGCAGCCAUCAUUUAAAGAAAGCGUAAUAGCUCACUGGUCGAGUCGGCCUGCGCGGAAGAUGUAACGGGGCUAAGUAGUAAACCGAAGCUGCGGCAAUAUACUUUUGUAUAUUGGGUAGGGGAGCGUUCUGUAAGCGGUUGAAGGUGUGUGGUAACGCAUGCUGGACGUAUCAGAAGUGCGAAUGCUGACAUGAGUAACGAUAAAGGGGGUGAAAAACCUCCUCGCCGGAAGACCAAGGGUUCCUGUCCAACGUUAAUCGGGGCAGGGUAAGUCGACCCCUAAGGCGAGGCCGAAAGGCGUAGUCGAUGGGAAACGGGUUAAUAUUCCCGUACUUCUUACAAUUGCGAUGGGGGGACGGAGAAGGCUAGGUGGGCCUGGCGACGGUUGUCCAGGUUCAAGUGCGUAGGCUUAAGAGUUAGGUAAAUCCGGCUCUUUCUAAGGCUGAGACACGACGUCGAGCACCUACGGGUGUGAAGUCAUUGAUGCCAUGCUUCCAGGAAAAGCCUCUAAGCUUCAGAUUGUAAGGAAUCGUACCCCAAACCGACACAGGUGGUCGGGUAGAGAAUACCAAGGCGCUUGAGAGAACUCGGGUGAAGGAACUAGGCAAAAUGGUACCGUAA
rnacentral:rRNA from 1 species